UACAGAGGGGGCAAGCGUUGUUCGGAAUUACUGGGCGUAAAGGGCGCGUAGGCGGCCUUCUAAGUCGAACGUGAAAUCCCCGGGCUCAACCCGGGAACUGCGUCCGAUACUGGAAGGCUUGAAUCCGGGAGAGGGAUGUGGAAUUCCAGGUGUAGCGGUGAAAUGCGUAGAUAUCGAGAGGAACACCAGUGGCGAAGGCGAGUCCCUGGACAACUUCUGACGCUGAGGCACGAAAGCUAGGGGAGCAAACAGG
rnacentral:rRNA from 1 species